rnacentral:rRNA from 1 species
UCGGGAAUCUUCGGCAAUGGGGGGAACCCUGACCGAGCAACGCCGCGUGAGUGAAGAAGGUUUUCGGAUCGUAAAGCUCUGUUGUUAAGGAAGAACGAGUGUGAGAAUGGAAAGUUCAUGCUGUGACGGUACUUAACCAGAAAGGGACGGCUAACUACGUGCCAGCAGCCGCGGUAAUACGUAGGUCCCGAGCGUUGUCCGGAUUUAUUGGGCGUAAAGCGAGCGCAGGCGGUUAGAAAAGUCUGAAGUGAAAGGCAGUGGCUCAACCAUUGUAGGCUUUGGAAACUGUUUAACUUGAGUGCAGAAGGGGAGAGUGGAAUUCCAUGUGUAGCGGUGAAAUGCGUAGAUAUAUGGAGGAACACCGGUGGCGAAAGCGGCUCUCUGGUCUGUAACUGACGCUGAGGCUCGAAAGCGUGGGGAGCGAACAGG